rnacentral:rRNA from 1 species
ACUCCUACGGAGCAGCAGUGGGGAAUAUUGCACAAUGGGCGCAAGCCUGAUGCAGCAACGCCGUGUGAGUGAAGAAGGUUUUCGGAUCGUAAAACUCUGUCCUAAGGGAAGAAACAAAUGACGGUACCUUAGGAGGAAGCCCCGGCUAACUACGUGCCAGCAGCCGCGGUAAUACGUAGGGGGCAAGCGUUAUCCGGAAUCACUGGGCGUAAAGGGUGCGUAGGCGGCUUAGCAAGCCAGGGGUGAAAGGCAUUGGCUCAACCAAUGUAAGCCUUUGGAACUGUUAAGCUUGAGUGCAGGAGAGGUAAGUGGAAUUCCUAGUGUAGAGGUGAAAUUA